AAAAAAGCUGACACUUGGAAAUAGCGGGACCCGGAGAUUGGUAGAUCCGGGCGUAAGGGACCGAAUACGAGUAGGGAAGUCCGCGAUGUUCCGAGGCGAGAAAAGGCGAAGGUAGGGUGCCCGUACCGCAAACCGACACAGGUAGAUGAGGAGAGAAUCCUAAGGCCAACGGGAGAAGGGUUGUUAAGGAACUCGGCAAAAUGACCCCGUAACUUCGGGAUAAGGGGAGCCUGUCUAUGGCAGGCCGCAGAGAAUAGGCCCAAGCGACUGUUUACCAAAAACACAGGUCUAUGCUAAAUCGAAAGAUGACGUAUAUGGGCUGACGCCUGCCCGGUGCUGGAAGGUUAAGAGGAGAUGUCAGGCAACGAAGCAUUGAAUCGAAGCCCCAGUAAACGGCGGCCGUAACAAUAACGGUCCUAAGGUAGCGAAAUUCCUUGUCAGGUAAGUUCUGACCCGCACGAAUGGCGUAACGAUUUGGGCGCUGUCUCAACAGCCCACCCGGCGAAAUUGUUGUACUGGUGAAGAAGCCAGUUACCCGCAACUAGACGGAAAGACCCCAUGGAGCUUUACUGCAGCUUAAUACUGGAAUUCGGUAAUUCAUGUACAGGAUAGGUGGGAGACUGGGAACUAAUGUCGUCAGGCGCUAGGGAGUCGCCCUUGGGAUACCACUCUUGAAUUGCUGGGUUUCUAACCUGCGGCCGUGAAUCCGGUCGGGGGACACUGUUAGGCAGACAGUUUGACUGGGGCGGUCGCCUCCUAAAAGGUAACGGAGGCGCUCAAAGGUUGGCUCAGCACGGACGGAAAUCGUGCAAUGAGUGUAAACGUAUAAGCCAGCCUAACUGCGAGAGUGACGGCUCGAGCAGUAACGAAAGUUGGAGUUAGUGAUCCGGUGGUAUGUGAGUGGAAAUGCCAUCGCUCAACGGAUAAAAGCUACCCUGGGGAUAACAGGCUGAUCUCCCCCAAGCGUCCACAGCGACGGGGAGGUUUGGCACCUCGAUGUCGGCUCGUCACAUCCUGGGGCUGUACUCGGUCCCAAGGGUUCGGCUGUUCGCCGAUUAAAGUGGCACGCGAGCUGGGUUCAGAACGUCGUGAGACAGUUCGGUCCCUAUCUGUUGCGGGCGUAAGAGAUUUGAAGGGGGCUGUCCUUAGUACGAGAGGACCGGGAUGGACGCACCUCUGGUGCACCUGUUGUCGUGCCAACGGCAUAGCAGGGUAGCUACGUGCGGACGAGAUAAACGCUGAAAGCAUCUAAGCGUGAAACUUUCCCUAAGAUAAGAUCUCUCAUCCUUUAUGGAGUAAGGCACGAUGUAGACUACAUCGUAGAUAGGCCGGAGGUGGAAGUGCAGUAAUGUAUGGAGCUGACCGGUACUAAUAAGCCGAGGGCUUGACCU
rnacentral:rRNA from 1 species